UUUAAACACUGGCACAAUUGGUGGUUUGUAAUCCGCUUAUUUAAUUCUAAUUAUUCCCCUUGAAAGACACUUUCGUUUGAGCAGUUCACAGACACAGGUAGCGCAACAAGUUUCGCAGUGUUCAUUUUCAAUGGCUAUUAAACGCUGUAAAUCAAAAAGAUAUCGUGUAAUAAUGGAUGUCUUCAACCGAAGAAGGUUCGGAAAUGAUAUUUCCACAUGCUUAAAAUAGGUAAGUGAAAGAUAUAUGUGUAUUUUGGCUUUGUGAUUAAUUUUCGCGACUCGCAAGUUUGACCCGGAAGUAAACUGUACGAUAGCAACUGAAUUUUUACAUGAAAUGGUGGAAGAUUUAAAUUUGACUUUAAAAUAUCAUGUAUCAAUUUAUUAACACAAACACUAUUCCAUGUGAAAUUUCACAAGAACAGGACACUUCGUUUUUAAAUUUAAAUGAUUUAUCGAAUGUAAAUGAACUUUAUUUUAAAACUUCUCACCCCGCUACUCAAGAGUUGUUUGAUGUGGUAGAUAAGAUGAUUAUGAAAAUGACCUUGAGUUGAACCAUGAUGAGUCUGAUAUAGAUAUUGAUGUAGAAGCUGUAAAAAAACAACAUCAGAUACUGCGUUAAUUGAAAAGUCUGAACUUCAUGUGGCAGAAGCUGAUAAACAAAACAAAUUUAAGGUUGACUUUUUAAAAUGUUUAAGCACAAAUUUAAUUAAUAAUUAUUAUUAUAAAAAAAAGUGUUAUGUAGAUAAAUAACCAAUAAUUUGAUAUUCUACAGGGUGGGAAGUUAUUUUUCAAGACACCGAGGAAGUGUGAGGUGUAUGGAAUCAGCUGCGAAGGAUCUGGAAAGCAGGUGCUUUACCUCGCAGACGAAGGCCAGUCACAUGGUAAAGGUGCAAAUGCUGUGAUCAGCCAGGUUCACCUCUACCUCAACACAUACGGUCUUGGCGAACAGCAUGCUCACUUUCAGUGUGACAACUGUUGCAGCCAAAAUAAAAACAACAUAGUCAUCUGGUACCUUCUGUGGAGAGUUCUUGUAGGUUUACACAAAAUCAUCACACUAAGCUUUAUGUUGAUAAGACAUACAAAGUUUACACCAGAUUGGCACUUUGGCAUUUGGAAGUCAAAGUGGAGAAACUUCAAUGCAGAAAUGUUGUCUGAUGUCGCUGCGUCUGUGGGGUUAUCGUCAAGGACGGGCCACAACAUCCCCCAGCUUGUGGGGGACUUUUCCAAUCCUGUUGUUAUCUAAGACAGGAAGGAUUACCUUACGACAUUGUUUCACCACAUAAAGAAUGUCACCAAAUUUCAUCAAUUUCCAUGUGUCAGCGGAGCAUCCCAGUGUUGUGGAAUGCAGGGAAUUUAGUGACUCACCAGUAGUCAGAAUCACUCUCAGGAAGGUCUCGAAAGUGAAUGUUAAUGUGAGCUGCGACAAACUGCCAUAAGAAAUGUUUGCGAAAGGGCUUGAUCUGGACCAUCAGUGGUAUUUAUUUGAAAACAUUCGUGAAUUCUGUCGCAUAGAUGAACCAAAAACUUGACAUGUCCGAAACGCGCUACUGGUGAGCAACAAAAAACAGACUGUGCCCCCCAAAAAAGAAGAUGCAUUAAGAUGUGCAUCUGAUCUUCUCUGAUGGUGCCACAACAAUUACAUACAUCAUGUAUCAGUGUUUAUUUUGGCCAUAUAUUUUGGGUGAUAUAUUUUCCCCCAAACAAUGCAAAAAAUCCUCUAUUCCUAGGAAAGCUAAAACAUGUUUACGAUUGCUAAAUGUGUCAGUUGAUACAGGUUUUGAAAUGUUCAAUGCAAACGUUUGUUGUUCUAAUUGCACAAGCUUGUUUUCAAGUUUUUUAUAUCUCAUAUUUACUAAACAAAAAUCCUUUUUUCCAUGUAACCAUUGAAAUGUUUUCACCUUAUGGACACAGACUGCCUUUCCGAAAACUGGACAAAAAAUCAGUGUGAAUAUUGUAUUUAUUUAUGUUUUACAAUGAAAAUCCUAUAUUUUUGUUUGUUUGCUACAUUGUUUCCAUAGUAACAAAAACAAACAAUUUUUAUGUUUAAGUUAUUGUUUAUUUUGUCUAUUUUUCUCUAUUAGAAAUAAUGAUAAAUAAUGAUUAUUUCAUUUACUGAAACAUUUAGUAUCCAAGUGUACUUUCAACCAACACUUUUCAAUGCUGUGUUUUUCCAUUCUGUUGUGUUUGAGGUUACAUUAUACUUAAAUACACAUGUAACUAAAUAAAAAAAGGAAAUUGUCCAUGGAACACACAAAUUAUUGAUUGUUAUUGUUUAACUAGUUACAAAACAGUGAAAUUAAUGUUGUGUUUUCCGUUAAACAAACACUUGAUUGAAAAUACAAUUCAUAGAUUUAUAAAAGGCGUGAUUGUGUGCUCUGGUGAUUAUUAACAUAUAGAUCGGUUACCAUAGCAACACAAAUGGUACAUUUUAAAUGUCCAUAAUGCUGUUGUCAGUUUAUUGCACUAUAAUCAUGUAUUUGACUAAAGGAAAGAUAAUUGUUUUAAUAAAACAAUGUGCUUGUUG